rnacentral:rRNA from 1 species
CCUCGGGUGGCAGCAGUGGGGAAUAUUGGACAAUGGGCGAAAGCCUGAUCCAGCCAUGCCGCGUGUGUGAAGAAGGCCUUCGGGUUGUAAAGCACUUUCAGUGGGGAAGAAAGCCUUGGGGCUAAUACCCUCGAGGAAGGACAUCACCCACAGAAGAAGCACCGGCUAACUCCGUGCCAGCAGCCGCGGUAAUACGGAGGGUGCGAGCGUUAAUCGGAAUUACUGGGCGUAAAGCGCGCGUAGGCGGUCUGAUAAGCCGGUUGUGAAAGCCCCGGGCUCAACCUGGGAACGGCAUCCGGAACUGUCAGGCUAGAGUGCAGGAGAGGAAGGUAGAAUUCCCGGUGUAGCGGUGAAAUGCGUAGAGAUCGGGAGGAAUACCAGUGGCGAAGGCGGCCUUCUGGACUGACACUGACGCUGAGGUGCGAAAGCGUGGGUAGCAAACAGGAUUACAUACCCUAGUAGUC